GACGUUAGCGGCGGACGGGUGAGUAACACGUGGGCAACCUGCCCCUUAGACUGGGAUAACUCCGGGAAACCGGAGCUAAUACCGGAUAAUCCCUUUCUCCACCUGGAGAGAGGGUGAAAGAUGGCUUCGGCUAUCACUAAGGGAUGGGCCCGCGGCGCAUUAGCUAGUUGGUAAGGUAACGGCUUACCAAGGCAACGAUGCGUAGCCGACCUGAGAGGGUGAUCGGCCACACUGGGACUGAGACACGGCCCAGACUCCUACGGGAGGCAGCAGUAGGGAAUCUUCCGCAAUGGACGAAAGUCUGACGGAGCAACGCCGCGUGAGUGAGGAAGGCCUUCGGGUCGUAAAGCUCUGUUGUGAGGGAAGAAGCGGUACCGUUCGAAUAGGGCGGUACC
rnacentral:rRNA from 1 species